GCCUGGGUGGCUCAGGCGGUUGGGCGUCUGACUUCAGCUCAGGUCAUGAUCUCGCCAUCUGUGGGUUUGAGCCCCACGUCCGGCU
rfam:Felis catus isolate Cinnamon breed Abyssinian chromosome C2, whole genome shotgun sequence.